CCACAGUUACAUCAUGAUGGUCAUUGUUUUGACUCUCAAAUAACCUUGACAGGUAGUUUGAUAUUGAGAUGCUUCUGUGCUGGCUAAUGACUUUGUGUGAUUUGUUUACUCUUGCCCUUUUUAGGGGGACGUUGGCCCUCCAGGCAAUGUCGGCCGCAAAGGUCCACAGGGCCCCCCAGGUUUAGAUGGACAGGCGGGGCCUCCAGGACCCAGAGGGCCCCAAGGAACACCAGGACUGAGUGGUGGAGCAGGGCCGAAAGGAGAUCCUGGACAUGUGGGUACCGUGGGUAUGCGGGGCGAACCCGGAUUUGAAGGGCCAACGGUGAGUUCGAUAUUCCCUUGGGCAGGGGCCCCCAACCACCGGUCUCAACUGGUCCGUGACACAA